UCUGGUGUCAGCCGCCCGCGGUAAUACCCAGCACCUUCGAGUGGUCAGGACGUUUAUUGGGCCUAAAAGCAUCCCGUAGCCGGCUUGUUCAAGUCUUUCGGUUAAAUCCACGUGCUCAACAUAUGGGCUGCUGGAGAUACUACAGAGCUAGGGAGUGGGAGAGGCACACGGUAUUCAGUGGGUAGGGGUAAAAUCCUUUGAUCCAUUGAGGACCACCAGUGGCGAAGGCGGUGUGCCAGAACACGUUCGACGGUGAGGGAUGAAAGCUGGGGGAGCAAACCGGAUUAGAUACCCGGGUAGUCCCAGCUGUAAACGAUGCAAACUCGGUGAUGCAUUGGCUUAUGGCCAAUGCAGUGCCGCAGGGAAGCCGUUAAGUUUGCCGCCUGGGAAGUACGGACGCAAGUAUGAAACUUAAAG
rnacentral:rRNA from 2 species